UACGAAGGGGGCUAGCGUUGCUCGGAAUCACUGGGCGUAAAGCGCACGUAGGCGGAUCGUUAAGUCAGGGGUGAAAUCCUGGAGCUCAACUCCAGAACUGCCUUUGAUACUGGCGACCUUGAGUUCGGGAGAGGUGAGUGGAACUGCGAGUGUAGAGGUGAAAUUCGUAGAUAUUCGGAAGAACACCAAUAGCGAAGGCAGCUCGCUGGGACGUUACUGACACUGAGGCGCGAAAGCGUGGGGAGCGAACAGG
rnacentral:rRNA from 1 species